AAUCAUCAAAAUCCUUUUUCUUUUUGGAAAGGGGUCUUGGACUUGGAGGUUUUGAUGCUCGCUUUCACCGUCGAAAGCGGGCUCCUCUCAAAUGAAUCAGUGGGGUUUGCUUUGCCGAUCCUUGACGUGAUAAGAUGUUUCUACGUUUUGGACUUGACACUGUGCCCGCUUCUAACCGUCCGAAGGGACAACGAUGGUGCUUCGGUCCGUCGCCAUUCACACUGGCGGGAGGCUGGACCCACACAAAAAA
rnacentral:misc_RNA from 1 species